rnacentral:misc_RNA from 1 species
GCUUUUGGACGACAUCCCUGGUAAAGGAAGAGAUCCAGUAGCUGCUGGCCAGCCAUAUUAUGUAUCAGAUGGUUAUCCAGUUAAUUCUUUCGAAUUUGUUAAACCUCUGCUCAGUAGCUUAGGUUAUGACUUGCCAAAUUUUUACCUGCCUGUUCCUAAAGCUCUGCUCUUGGGGAAAUUUUUUGCUGCUUUGUACACAAUACUAUAUCCAUGGCUGGAUAAAUG